CUUGAAUCUUCCAUCCAGAGCGGCCACUUCUCUGUCAAUUCAAAUCAGCGCUUCAAAACAAAUGUUAGCAGCCUUCUGAAGGAACACUGCACCUUACUUAGAGAAUCUACUUAUGAACAGCUAAAUCACCUUGCAGACUGAGGCUCCUGGUUUAUGUGCUGUGCAACGUGCAAGCAGAGGCAAGGUGAGUGCACAGCUGUACUGCUGAGGGUACAGCUUAGCCACGUGUAAGCUGUCAUCUCAGUGGGAGAAAGAGUUUUAAGACCAUGUAACUCUUGAACUUCUUGGAUUACCUGCUUUUCCCAUCUAUCUGGUUUCUCCUACCUCUACUUCUCUCACAAGAAGCAAAGCCAAGCCUGCCCCACACCUGUGUGAUGUGGAGAAAGCUGCAUCAUUUUCCCUUCGCUCUUCGUGCUCUCAAGUUUCAAUUGCUCCUGCAGACCCUUCUGGGCUCUCUCUUCUGAGACAUCUUGGCCGUAAAGUACCUCUACAGACAUAAAAUCAUUUUUUUCUGUGUGAAGAUGUUGCUAUUUUCACAGUAAAAUACUCCUGCUGUGCAGUGCUGCACCUCCACACAGGACCCUUGUCACAGUGGCUGUGCCCUUGUGGCUCUGUCUGAUGCUUCAGAGGCAAGCCCGCAGCUCCCCAUGUCCUGGCCAGCUCAGGAAACUUGGCUGCUGAGCAGGAGAAGACAGCCCCACACACAGCAAAGGUAGGUAUCAUUUCUCCUCUGGUAGCUCUGUCCUGUUAAGUGAUAAAAAGCAGUUUAUUAACGUGAACUAUGGCAUUGUGAGGUGAUUGAGGAGAAUACCAAUGCAGGACCAAGAGCAAGGGCUGGGAGGAAUGUGGUCAUACUGCUCCAGUGCUUGUAGGGACCCUUAUGUUUACUCAGGACUUUUGGUGUGUCUGUGCUGAGUGAUGCCCUGGCUUUGAAUUCACUGCUCCUGUUGGAAAAGAUGAUUCCACCGUUACAAGGAAAACCUCGUUUUCAGUCUUAGGGCUGUAUGAGAGCUCCUCCUGUAACCUACUCCUCUGCUCUGGUGGACACAUGUAUUAUCAUUGCUUCCAUAUAACUCAUCUGGAUGUGUGUCUAUAUUUUUAUCCUUCCCAUUCCUGUUGUGCCAUGCUUAUGAUAUGGUAUCACAGAUGUAACCCAUCAUUAUGUGACUCACGCUGCAAGUCAAUGCAUGUAACCACAGGCAUGCAGAGAGUGAAUAGAUAUCAAGCACUGAUACUAUUAUAGCUUACUCUGCAGUUUGCUCAUGUACUGGCUGUUGGGAGCAGUAAAUACCCUACCUCAGUGUGGAAUAUACUUGCACUGCCUACAUAGUACCACGUGCACAACUCUAGGGAUGCAAAACAUUUCUAUUGCAACGAAAGAUGGAGUUGAUGAGUACCUUGCAGGACUGGGCCACCACUACUUCAAGGCUGAUGACACAUCCCGGGGACCUCGGGAAGAGCACCAAUGCAGUUUACUCAGUGACUUGCUAAAUAAAUAAGGAUUAAAUAAUUUCUAUAAAUGUAGCAGUCUCACUGGGAGCUCCUUGCCCGUGAUUGAUCUGAAAAUAACCAGAAACAUUUCAUUGGAUUAAUAAAUAAAAAAUAUCAGUUCAUUGCAACUUCAAAAUUGAGGGCGCAUUUCUUUUGGAUUGAGCACAUAGUUUUGUUCCUUGUUCCGUACGUUUCUAUUUCUUCAGUAAGUGUAAUUUGAAAGAGGAAGAGAAAUAUAUGACUGAUGCAUUAAGAUCAAUCGUGAUAGCUAAUUUAAUAUCCAAAAGGUUCCUCAGAUAUUCCGGGGAAGAAAAUGUAAGUGAAAAAUGCAGUAUUAUGGCUAGUACUCAUUUGCUGUAUUACAGUCAGACGUACACAGUAUCUUAAUUUUCCUCAUGAUUAUAAAUGGCUUUUAACUUUACUGGCAAGUCCAAGCUAUACCGCGGCGUUAGCGAUAACCAGGUUAUCUUGCAUGUGCAGCCUAGGAGCACAUGGCAGCAGGGUGUGUGAUGCACAUAAGUCACUGUCCAGAGCCCAGAACAGUGCAUAAAUAUUGUCUGCAGAGCACAAAGCAUAUUUUUAAUUUUAUGCUAUCGUAUGACAAGGAAAUGUUAAAAAUGUCUAGCAAGACAGUAUGAAACCUUCUUAUUGUAAGUCACAGGAUCACUCUGUGAGCUCCAAAUCCCAGGUCCACAUUAAUGUUCUUCAAACACAGGCAAGCAGGGGUGUGUCAUGCCCAGGAAUUUCCUGGUUACAAAGGAUACAGGAUGGAGGGGAAGCUGCCAGAAACCUCCUUUUUGUUGAAGGCUGUGGUGGUAAAGGAGGAUGAAGUCCUUCCAGGUUUAUGUCUGUAAACGAAAUGUUGAUGGUUUGAGCUUCAAAGAUGUUGGCUUGCCAAGUGAGAGGCAUGGACCAGAGGAGAUGAGCUAGGAAACCUUCAGCAGGGCAGGCUGGUCACUCAGAUGGGACCUGCACCUCGGGCUGCCCCUCCACAGCUCACAAAGAGGGACCAAAGGAGCUGCCCUGUCCACUUGGUUCUGCCUCUUGGUAUCCCUGCCUGUUGUUGUGGCCUUCUAAUUCACCACAUUAGAGAAAACAAAGUGACUGCACAGAGUAAAGGGUAAGCCUGACUUUUUCUCAGUUGUCAGCCUAUGUGCACGCAAAAGAUGCUAUGAAAGGAGGCUGCUUUGUGAAGAUGCAUCAAAGAGGGAUUUCUACUGUUUGUCACUGGAUUUCAUUUCAGUGCUAAAUCACAUCAACCUCAGCAAGAAGUCAGGAAAAAAUGGAAAACGUGUCGCUGCUGUCAUCCCAAGUUUUGUUUGCCUUUCUUUACAUUAAAGCUCUUAUUUCUGUAGGACUUUU
ensembl:lncRNA